GGAGCGUUGACCGAGUAGGUAAGGUGCCGGGUUGCUAACCCGAGGUCAGCCGUCAGGCUGGGCAGGUUCGAACCCUGCACGCUCCG
rnacentral:tRNA from 1 species